rnacentral:rRNA from 1 species
GAUGAACGCUGGCGGCGUGCCUAAUACAUGCAAGUCGAGCGAACAGACGAGGAUCUUGCUCCUUUUACGUUAGCGGCGGACGGGUGAGUAACACGUGGAUAACCUACCUAUAAGACUGGGAUAACUUCGGGAAACCGGAUCUCAUACCGGAUAACAUGUUGAACCGCAUGGUUCAUCAGUGAUAGACGGUCUUGCUGUCCCUUAUAGAUGGAUCCGCGCCGCAUUAGCUAGUUGGUAAGGUAACGGCUUACCAAGGCAACGAUGCGUAGCCGACCUGAGAGGGUGAUCGGCCACACUGGAACUGAGACACGGUCCAGACUCCUACGGGAGGCAGCAGUAGGGAAUCUUCCGCAAUGGGCGAAAGCCUGACGGAGCAACGCCGCGUGAGUGAAGAAGGUCUUCGGAUCGUAAAACUCUGUUAGUAGGGAAGAACAAAUGUGUAAGUAACUAUGCACGUCUUGACGGUACCUAAUCAGAAAGCCACGGCUAACUACGUG